CCGAAUGGGGAAACCCAGUGUGUUUCGACACACUAUCAUUAACUGAAUCCAUAGGUUAAUGAGGCGAACCGGGGGAACUGAAACAUCUAAGUACCCCGAGGAAAAGAAAUCAACCGAGAUUCCCCCAGUAGCGGCGAGCGAACGGGGAGCAGCCCAGAGCCUGAAUCAGUGUGUGUGUUAGUGGAAGCGUCUGGAAAGGCGCGCGAUACAGGGUGACAGCCCCGUACACAAAAAUGCACAUGCUGUGAGCUCGAUGAGUAGGGCGGGACACGUGGUAUCCUGUCUGAAUAUGGGGGGACCAUCCUCCAAGGCUAAAUACUCCUGACUGACCGAUAGUGAACCAGUACCGUGAGGGAAAGGCGAAAAGAACCCCGGCGAGGGGAGUGAAAAAGAACCUGAAACCGUGUACGUACAAGCAGUGGGAGCACGCUUAGGCGUGUGACUGCGUACCUUUUGUAUAAUGGGUCAGCGACUUAUAUUCUGUAGCAAGGUUAACCGAAUAGGGGAGCCGAAGGGAAACCGAGUCUUAACUGGGCGUUAAGUUGCAGGGUAUAGACCCGAAACCCGGUGAUCUAGCCAUGGGCAGGUUGAAGGUUGGGUAACACUAACUGGAGGACCGAACCGACUAAUGUUGAAAAAUUAGCGGAUGACUUGUGGCUGGGGGUGAAAGGCCAAUCAAACCGGGAGAUAGCUGGUUCUCCCCGAAAGCUAUUUAGGUAGCGCCUCGUGAAUUCAUCUCCGGGGGUAGAGCACUGUUUCGGCAAGGGGGUCAUCCCGACUUACCAACCCGAUGCAAACUGCGAAUACCGGAGAAUGUUAUCACGGGAGACACACGGCGGGUGCUAACGUCCGUCGUGAAGAGGGAAACAACCCAGACCGCCAGCUAAGGUCCCAAAGUCAUGGUUAAGUGGGAAACGAUGUGGGAAGGCCCAGACAGCCAGGAUGUUGGCUUAGAAGCAGCCAUCAUUUAAAGAAAGCGUAAUAGCUCACUGGUCGAGUCGGCCUGCGCGGAAGAUGUAACGGGGCUAAACCAUG
rnacentral:rRNA from 1 species